rnacentral:misc_RNA from 1 species
AUUGCUCCACGAUAGUAAGCUGUAAAAGCAAUGAGGAAUGAAUGAGCAAGGAAACAAAUGAGAGAUGAAUUGCAAAAUGAUCUUUUGAAACAAAUGCAGGAGGAAGAAGUAGACAACUUUCAGGAAACAGUGCCACAAAGAUACAAGAUAAUUACAUUAACAAUCACUAAAUCUAAACCUACUGAGAGGCCCAUAAAAAUGCAUAGGACAAUUUAUUAGCCUGAUGGGAAGAUUUAAUUCACUUAACUUGACAAUCUUCUCCACACAGAGGU